rfam:Gasterosteus aculeatus cont1.014835, whole genome shotgun sequence.
GGUUCCAUGGUGUAAUGGUCAGCACUCUGGACUCUGGAUCCAGUAAUCCGAGUUCCAGUCUCGGUGGAACCU